UAGACUUAGGUAUUAGUUUUGUGCCUUU
rnacentral:sRNA from 1 species